AUACUUACCUAACAGGGGAAAUAACCAUGGUUACAAAGGUAGCUGCUCAGGGUGAGGUUUAUCCAUUGUACUCUAGGUGUGCUGCUGGUCCCUGUGAUUUCCCCAACUGUGGGAAGCUAAAGCUGCAUGACUUCUGGUAGUGGGGAACUGUGUUCUGGUUUCCCCUAU
rnacentral:snRNA from 1 species